GUCACCAUAUUCCUAUCUUGGUAAAUCAAAACGCAUACAGGCAAAACCUUUUGGAUUCUCGCUUGAUCCUUUUUACGAGGAUUUUAAAGAUUCUUUAAUUAUAAUUGUUCAUCGUACAUUGUAUGAUCAGUUUUUGUCAGAUAUUGUUUAUAUUUAAUUUUAAAUAUAAAAAAUUAUAAUAAUUUAUAACCGCACAAUGUACGAUGAAUGAAUGUGAUUUGAGAAUCCCCGGAAUCCUCACUUAGGAAAACGGAGUUGUCCAAUCUCUACGUUAAUAAAUUAAUGUCAAAGACUUCAAUUAAAACCAAAAAGUCAAUAAGAUCUCAAUGAAAGAACAUUAGUAUCUAGAGACUAAAUAUAAUUUUUUUUUUUUAAAAAAAAAAAAGGAAUAAUUGCCUAAGAGAACAGCGGCACGAAUGCCAAAUACCGCUUCAACGUGACGUAUAUGCUUUGUUUCUGCUGUCGAGGAUUGAUUCGUAAGCCAUCGUGCUUGUUGAUGUGAGAUUCUGGAAACAAGGUUUACGUUCUAUAAAAAAUAGUUGCUUGCCGACACUGCCACUAUAGAUUCACCACUCAAACUUGCUAUUCCUUUCGUCCGAGGAGAGUAAACAGCAGCAUCAAGGCAAAUCGUUUUGGUAAUAUGAGGAAAGAAUCUUGCAUUGUAGAAAGCAAGCGGGUAAACAUAGGUGUCCACUGUCUAUAUAAACUAGCAAAGAAGAACAGCAAUUGCACAACCAUUCUGCAUCAAUUUCCUCUCCAUAAAUUAGACUUCUUUUUUAAAUAAGCUAUUCUCAACUCCAUUGGUAGUGACACAGAACAAUAAUUUACGAUGUGCUUCAAAUGUCUGCAAAUUCCGGAACACUGAAGCAAAUUAUUCUCUCCAUAGUGCUCAAGUCGAUGACAGUUGGCAUGCUAAUGCUAUUUUCCAACAAAACAUUAUUUAAACUAUUUUUUU